rnacentral:miRNA from 1 species
UGAGGCAGGAGAAUUGCUUGAACCCAGGAGGUGGAGGUUGCAGUGAGCCGAGAUCGCGCCACUGCACUCCAGCCUGGGUGACAAAGCGAGACUCCGUCU